UCAGAAACCCAUUUUCCCCAAUUUCCAUUUCCCUUCCCGUCCCCUUCUCCUAAACCGACAUUCCCUUUCCCCACUUCCCUUCCUUCUCAUUCCGUCACUAUUCAUCAUCAUUUUCAAACCCUUCUUUGCAUCCUCAAGACCUUCAAAACCCAUGCUCUCAUCUCGCCGUCCCUUGUCUUUGAUUUUCGAAGAAAUUGGGUUCUUCUUCCUCUGAAUUUCGAAAGGCUGUGUGAAAUCAAAGUAGCAUCGAAAUCCUUUCUCCUUGUCUCUGAUUUCUUCCGAGUUAGGGGAGAAGGAGUGAGCUUCAAUCUUGUGAUUAAACAUCCAAUUCAAACCGUGAAUCAAGCAUUAAGUCCGUUUUCCUCCUUGUUUCUGGUAGCUGAACAGAAGGAAGCGACAUUAUCGAAGAGCCCUUCUAAUAAGCGCGGGGUAGCAGACUUGGCCUCUUGAAGCGUUCUUUUUGCUUGUCUACAGAUCGGAACCAGUCGGGAAUAAUGGAUUAGCGAAGGUGAAUAGAGUUUCCAAGGAUGUUAAUUGAGUUGAGUACUUAGGAAUUAUAGAUUUGUAUUAGGAAUUUUGGAUAAAUGUAAAUUUGUUUUGGCUGUGCUGGUUAUAUCGGACUUGUAGAGAAUUGUAUGAUUAUCUUGUGUUUUAGUUAGAUGUUGGUUUUGGGAUUUAGCUGAGUUAGUCACGUUGAAGAGCUUGUGAUUCCUUUGCUCGAGUUUUGGAAGUGUGAUUUCAGUUUCUUGGGAAACGAACCCAGCGAUAACCCUGUUUACCCAGUCAACGGUAAGUCGGGUUGUUACAGUUGGUAUCAGAGCCAAACCGCGACCGUGGCUAAUCCUUAGGGUUAGUUCAUCUAGCGGGCAUACAAUCUUGGGAGUAAGGAAAAACGUGAUUUGAAGAUUUAAAUGUUUAAGAUAAGAGAUAGGAACAGAAGUGAAUAUGAUUGUGGAAUUAACCUAGGUGUUUGAGUUAGUCUUGUUUUCUUAGAAGUGUAGGAUGUGAGGUGCGAGGAUUACGGGGUAAAACGGGAAAACGCUCUUAACGAUUGAUCGUGACGGCAAGAAGAUUCAGUUCGACGAUGCAUUGUUAGAAUUUGUUUUCUGAUGAUGCCAAUGUCUUGUUGCUUAUCAUAGUUCCUUGUCGAUUAUCGUUUUAGUAGCUAGAAUAGUAUGUCCUAAAAUUGCGAAUCGUGUCACGUUGCUGCUAGCCCUUUCCUAUCAGCUUUUGUUUGUUGAUCCAUGAUUAUGAUUAUAGAUUGGUAUAUAAAAGCGAGGUCAUCGGGUUGUGAAGUAUGUAUCGUUAGUGUUUUGUUGUAAGUGAGUUGAACUUUAAAAACGAUUGUGACAUAGUAGGAGAAUUAGUAAAGACAAAGUAUUGCACAUCAUUGAUGGAAAAGCUUAAGUUAAGAGCAAUUGAUAUUGAUUUUUUUAGCCUAGUGAUUGAGUUGCAUAUAGUGUUCAUAUUUUGAUGUAAGCGAUGAACUUUUAGUGUUAUUGGAUCUUGUCAUACGUUGUAAUCUAUUUGAAUAUUGGAGCCUAUAGAUUUAGUAGAGUUAUUAGAAAAUUGUGUGAUUAUCAUUAAGAAUGUACCAAGUUUCUUCUGUUGGUUAGAAGUGCAAAUAUAACUUAAGGAUGGAAGGUCACUGGCAAACUUGAGGUUUUGUUAAAGUACAAGAAGGUUGUAUCAACAUCAAGAAUAGAAGUAGGUUUUCAACAAAAGUUGUUAUAAAGGAUCUUGAGUCAUAGACUUAAGUUAUCAAAAUAGUGUGGUUUAUAUGUUCUAAAGAUGGCAUUUAAAGUUUAAGAUGUUGGGUUAUAAAGAUUAUAGGUUAUUUGAUUGAGACAGUAGUUGGUAAAAUUGUGAACACCUCAUAGAUGAUCUUAGUGGAUAUAUGUGAAAAUAGUCAAUACUUGAGUUGUUAUUAUUGAAGAGUUGUGCUUAGCAGUUAUGAUAAGAAUUUAUGUUUGAGUUAAAGCUUAUAAGGAUUAUGGUCUAGUUACUCAGUCGAUAAUUCAAUUGAGGAUAUUUAGAUGAAGAAUGCAAAUAAAUGUUUAAUUGAGGUUAUAAUAAACUAUACUUUGGCUUCUAUAUGGGACAAGUUACUUAUGAAUUUAUUAGGUUUUUAUUGGCAAGUGGUGCAUGAUAUCAACCUAGGUGAGGUAGUUUAUCGUCUUGCGUUACUAGCAUCUUUUGACCGAGUGCAUGACGUGUUUUGCGUAUCCCAGCUGAGACAAUACAUUAGAGAUGACUCACACGUUCUUCGACCGAACAGUUGACCCUGGAUAAUACCUUGCAGUACGAGGAGACCCCCGUUCAGAUCCUAGAUAGGAAGACGCGUGAUACUCGUUGAGGUAGUGUAGCGCUUGUGAAGGUGCUAUGGUCUUAUCAUGUUACCGAAGAAGCCAUGUGGGAGGCAGUAGAUGCCAUGAGACGCGAUUAUUCCUGGUUGUUUGCUUAGGCAUUUCUAUGUUUAUCGCUUUAUAGCUUUUGCAUCUCCUAGAGAGUUAAGUUCGAGGACGAACUUUAUUCUAAGUUGGGUAGGAUUUUUGGAUUCAGAAUAGUUUUAGUAAGUCUGGAUGGCUAACAUGGUUAGUCGCUAAAUGUAGAUUCUUAUAGGGCACAAGUAUGAGAACUUGAUCAACAUAGAUUUACGAUAUGUAUGUUAGCUGGAUAUUUGAGUAUAUGCUUAGUUCAACUUCGAGGACGAAGUUUUUCUUAAGUUGGGUAGAAUGUGACAUUCGGGAAAUUUAAAAUAAAUAAAAUCAUUUUGGGCUUUAAACUAAUUAGAAAAUUAUCAUGAAUCAAGUGGGUUAAGUAAUAAUAAUAAUAAUAAUAACUAUAAUGAUGACAUAAAAAAAAUAAAUAAAAAUAAAAAAAAUAAAAACUAACUAAAAUUAAUACCCAAAAAUCAGAAACUCAUUUUCCCCAAUUUCCAUUUCCCUUCCCGUCCCCUUCUCCUAAACCGACAUUCCCUUUCCCCACUUCCCUUCCUUCUCAUUCCGUCACUAUUCAUCAUCAUUUUCAAACCCUUCUUUGCAUCCUCAAGACCUUCAAAACCCAUGCUCUCAUCUCGCCGUCCCUUGUCUUUGAUUUUCGAAGAAAUUGGGUUCUUCUUCCUCUGAAUUUCGAAAGGCUGUGUGAAAUCAAAGUAGCAUCGAAAUCCUUUCUCCUUGUCUCUGAUUUCUGCCGAGUUAGGGGAGAAGGAGUGAGCUUCAAUCUUGUGAUUAAACAUCCAAUUCAAACCGUGAAUCAAGCAUUAAGUCCGUUUUCCUCCUUGUUUCUGGUAGCUGAACAGAAGGAAGCGACAUUAUCAAAGAGCCCUUCUAAUAAGCGCGGGGUAGCAGACUUGGCCUCUUGAAGUGUUCUUUUUGCUUGUCUACAGAUCGGAACCAGUCGGGAAUAAUGGAUUAGCGAAGGUGAAUAGAGUUUCCAAGGAUGUUAAUUGAGUUGAGUACUUAGGAAUUAUAGAUUUGUAUUAGGAAUUUUGGAUAAAUGUAAAUUUGUUUUGGCUGUGCUGGUUAUAUCGGAUUUGUAGAGAAUUGUAUGAUUAUCUUGUGUUUUAGUUAGAUGUUGGUUUUGGGAUUUAGCUGAGUUAGUCACGUUGAAGAGCUUGUGAUUCCUUUGCUCGAGUUUUGGAAGUGUGAUUUCAGUUUCUUGGGAAACGAACCCAGUGAUAACCAUGUUUAGCCAGUCAACGGUAAGUCGGGUUAUUACAAGCAGUGCCCUCAAGACCCUCUACAGUAGGAGGAAUAAUAGGAUCUAUCCAGCGUAAAUGUAUCCAACCGUUGGGCUUCAUAACCCAAUCCUUGGGAGGUUGAUGGGGUAAAGCCUCUAGAUGUGUGUAUAAUGGGAACUCGACAACUGGCUCCUCGGUAAGUUCUCUCCUGAAAUCAUGUUUGAUUUCGUUCAGGGUAGUUUUAGCAGCAACCAUUGUGAAAAUGAGAAGAAAGAAAAUUUAAACAGAAUUAUGGUUUGAGAGGAAUUAAUCGCAGAGGAAAAAUAUUCCGGGAAUGUUUGAGAGUAAAUGAAGAUUCAAAAAACGUAAGGGAGGUGAAAAUGCAUGUCUCAGAAUAUAUAUAGCUAGAUAUUCAUUGGAAAAAAUUAAAUGGUAAAAAGAUCAAUAGAUCAAGAGAUAUUAUAAUUGGAAGUGGAAAGAUCAAUCGUUGAGAUAAAACCGCCAAAUUUUGAAAUUAGUAGGAGUAGGGAACAGUGAUUGGAUGGGCAUUUAAUGUUAGUACAACCAAGUUGAGAUAAUGAUGAAAGGGUACUGUGGCAAGUAAAGUGUGUCCAACAAGUUUCGCCAAAAAGGUAAUACCCAGAAAAGCCGAUAAAAAGAAUUUUAAACAAUUUCCAGAAAAAGGAUUAUACAUGUUGCCAGAAACAUAUGUUCCCAGAAAGCAUAUGUUGCCAGAAACAUGAGUUGCCAGAAGUUGAAAAUUUUUGACAUAAUUUUAUGGGUUUUAUCCAAAUGUCCCAGAAGGUUAAUUUUAGUAAAAACCUAUAUAUAAUGCUGAAGGCGAAAGAAUAAUUAGGGAAGAUUUACUUGGAGAUUAUAAGAAUUAUUAACGAGUAAAGUCAUGUUGCUAAAAAUCGAUUUUGAAGACAGACCCACAAAUUCUUAAGGAAGAAUUUAUAGGUCUGAAGGGGCAAAUUGUGUGUGUAAAAUAUUAAUUUGAAGGUUAUUAUGAUAAAAAGACAGUCAAAAGAUAUCAAACCUACCUGAAUCUGGAAAAAUUUUGUGUUAAUAAGUAGUUAUUUGGGAAUAAUUAUCUGGCAAGGUUAUUAAAGGAUUUUGUAUACAGGCUUAGAAGGUUAGUGCAUGAGAAGCUCACGUGCAUGUGAGGACACAUGUCCUUCAUUAAAGCAUCACUUUUAUGAAAUGGGACACGCGUUCAAAGGAGAAAUUAGAAACGCCACUAAGGACAAAUAAAGUAUUUGAUUGCGAUUAAGGGAUUGACACAUCUAAAAAGGAAAGUGGCGCAUGCAGAGAAUGUCUUUAGGGGUCGGAAAAGGAAUGUUUGUUCCACAAUCAUCAGCUAUAAAUACUCACCAAAGCGCCAUAAAUGAGGUAACUAAUUUUUUAGAGAGAAAGAAAAGAAAAAAAGAAUCCAAAGUGAUUAAAUACAAACGAUCUUAACUGAAUAUUAGAAUUUCACAUUGAUUUUCAGAGCAACGGAACAAAGAUUUACAAAAGAUUUAAUCGACAUUUGUCGCGAUAAUUUAUUACAAAAGGACCUCACGUCUAAACAAGCCCUAACCAGCUAUCCACCUGGUUGCCACUGUGUACCUUGAAGGACCUGUUAGGCAAUCCAUAUAUUGAUCUGUACUAACUUGGGUGUCGGAGUAGGCCCCCCGAAAAGAAUUCAGGGCCUUUCUAACUCCUUUUGUGUGUUUUGUAGGAAUCAUCAGCGUCUCCAUCCAAAGAUCUUACUGUAUAACUGGUAAGGAAUUAAAUUAAGACUUCCACCAGCAAAAAUCAUCUGAUUAACAACUAAUCAGGAGAUUAAAAUCUUAAUUAAUUGUUCUUUAAAAUCAGACAGGAACACCUCAUGACAUGAAGUUCGUGUUUAGAAAUCGAAAUAUAGUUCCACGGUCGAAACUAUAUAAGUCAGUCCUAGAGUCUGUCCAAAACUAGUUUGUUUUAGGGUCUCAUAAAUGUUCAAGACAACCUGUAACUUGAUACCAUCCUUUGAUGAGUGAAGAAUGUUUGGGCAUUAGUUUACAAUGUCAAUUGUAAUUUAGUGCCGUAUAGCAAUCGAUUUUCUUUGUCAAAGGCUUAAUUGUUUAUUAUUGAAACUUGUUGCCUGUUGGUUUUAACAUUACAUAACUCCGCCCGUAGUAGAAUAUGAUACCCCAGAGAAACUUCUGCUAAAUAAUGAAAGUGCGUUCUUUAAGAUGGUUUAAAGUACUGGAGUUGCAAAUUCUCAGUAUUUGCGUAGCCUUUUACGUGGAAAUGAAGGGGAAAAUAGAUCAACUGCAGAUGAUGAUAGACUAGCUAGAUGGGCAAAGAACAUGGCUGGCAUUUUCCCGAUGGGCUGCUGCAGCUUAGUUUGUGAUUUCAGUGAGCUUAACAUCAUCACAGAAUGACCUUCAGCGAUGUGAAAUUGAAGAUGAGGAUAAUAUUUUGAAGAAGACCAAAGAUAAGUGGUGGUCUUCUCUAUAUAAAGUGGUUGAAGGAGUAUACUGCAAGAUAAAACACAUAUAGCCAAGAUGAAAUAGAUGAGGUUCGUGAGCAAUGGGCAAAGUUCUUUAGAUCGAACAUUUUGUUAAACUAAAUGUAAUUUUGUACAAACAAUACUAGUACUACUAUAAAUUCGAUCGUAUGUGAUCAUAUAUAUAAGUGUAGUAGUGGAUGUUAUAU